UCCCCCGGCAAUGGGCAAAGAGACAUCUUUUUGAUGGUGUUGUUCUUACAUCAGUCAGGGAUAGAGUAAAUGGCAGCCCUUUGUGCAUCCUAGCUUGAUGCCUAUCUUGGUGGCCGAAGCUGUCUUAUGCCUAGAACUCACAA